AUAGCGUAUAUUAAAGUUGUUGCAGUUAAAAAGCUCGUAGUUGAACCUUGGGUCUGGCUGGCCGGUCCGCCUCACCGCGAGUACUGGUCCGGCUGGACCUUUCCUUCUGGGGAACCUCAUGGCCUUCACUGGCUGUGGGGGGAACCAGGACUUUUACUGUGAAAAAAUUAGAGUGUUCAAAGCAGGCCUUUGCUCGAAUAUAUUAGCAUGGAAUAAUAGAAUAGGACGUAUGGUUCUAUUUUGUUGGUUUCUAGGACCGUCGUAAUGAUUAAUAGGGACAGUCGGGGGCAUCAGUAUUCAAUUGUCAGAGGUGAAAUUCUUGGAUUUAUUGAAGACUAACUACUG
rnacentral:rRNA from 1 species